rnacentral:rRNA from 1 species
ACGCUGACAGAAUGCUUAACACAUGCAAGUCAACUUGAAUUUGGGUUUUUAACUUAGAUUUGGGUGGCGGACGGGUGAGUAACGCGUAAAGAACUUGCCUCACAGCUAGGGACAACAUUUAGAAAUGAAUGCUAAUACCUGAUAUUAUAAUUUUAAGGCAUCUUAGAAUUAUGAAAGCUAUAAGCACUGUGAGAGAGCUUUGCGUCCCAUUAGCUAGUUGGAGAGGUAACAGCUCACCAAGGCGAUGAUGGGUAGCCGGCCUGAGAGGGUGAACGGUCACAAGGGGACUGAGACACGGCCCUUACUCCUACGGGAGGCAGCAGUGGGGAAUAUUGGACAAUGGACCGAGAGUCUGAUCCAGCAAUUCUGUGUGCACGAUGAAGUUUUUCGGAAUGUAAAGUGCUUUCAGUUGGGAAGAAAAAAAUGACGGUACCAACAGAAGAAGUGACGGCUAAAUACGUGCCAGCAGCCGCGGUAAUACGUAUGUCACGAGCGUUAUCCGGAUUUAUUGGGCGUAAAGCGCGUCUAGGUGGUUAUGUAAGUCUGAUGUGAAAAUGCAGGACUCAACUCUGUAUUGCGUUGGAAACUGUGUAACUAGAGUACUGGAGAGGUAAGCGGAACUACAAGUGUAGAGGUGAAAUUCGUAGAUAUUUGUAGGAAUGCCGAUGGGGAAGCCAGCUUACUGGACAGAUA